rnacentral:lncRNA from 1 species
CCUCCCCCCACCCCCAGCACUUAAGUGAAUAAUCUUCUCUUUUCCUGGACUGCUCACCUCCAAAGGGGACGCUUGUUUUCUUUUUAUAGGAGGAACAUCUUUCUGUGAUUAACACAACACCUGGGUGUUUCAUUUCUGCAAUUCCACAUUUAUGAGGCAAAUUGGCCUCUGUGUUAUGAACAUCUGAAUAAUGUCCAGUCUCUCUAUUAUGAGCAGAAAAUGUUUCCCAUGUCAAGGUCACAACCUCUUCUAAUUUUCAAAGUGAACAUUGUGUUGUAUUAUAGAUGCGUGUUAUAUCAUAUAGGAAUUGAUGAAAACUAGAGUGAAAUUCCCUCGAGAUUUCAUAGACUGUCAUUUUAACCUAUUAAGCUGUAAUUAUAAAUGGUAGGGGUAUUGUUUCCCUCUUAUUAGACAACAAGUGACCUCUUAAAAAGCAAUCUUUACCUUCCUGAUUAGUUAUGGUUCAUGUUCCAGGUGAUUCUACCAUUCAGUGCACCAUUGGGGUCAGUUAAUAGGUGUUUCAAAGCUCUGAAGUUGAAAAGAUUGCAGGGUAGAGUUUUUAUGUCUGUAGAAUCAGCAUAUAUGUUUACAGGAGGAAAUUGUAUAAUUAUUUAUAUCAUCAGGUUGGACUAAUUAAGGAGUCAUAGUAGAAGAUUCUUAUGAUUCAGCCCACAGAAUUGGGAGCCUUCCCAUUGAAACUUUAUUGACAUGAGUACUCAGGUCAUUGUUCUCUCUACUGGAGUCUCUUAGCUCAAAGGCUAGAUUAAAAAAUUCCUAAAUCUCUAGGCUUAGGAAAUGGUUUGGAUCAUUUGCAAAUAAUGUUCAGGAAAUUAUCUUGUUAAGUUUGGAUGCAUUUUUAUUUUUAAACUUUAAAAAAGUAUACACUUAGUAUAUUUUUGUUCACAAUGCAGAAAAGAAAAAGAAAGGAAGAAGUGUGUGUGUGUGUGUGUGUGUGUGUGAGAGAGAGAGAGAGAGAGAGAGAGAGAGAGAGAGAUUAUCCUGUGAUUUCAUCUUCCAGAGAUAAUCACUAUUAACAUCAUUUCUAGGCUUUUCUUCUAAUAUGUAAUGUAUAUGCAUUUUCCUGCUUUACAGAAAUGGAAUUCUAUACAUAUUGAGUCAACUGCCUAUUCAGCUGUAUAUUGUGAACAUUUUCAUUGUUAAUACUCUUUUGUAACAUCUCAUACUAUUAUAUUGUGUAGCUAUCACAUAAUUCCACUUCAUCAAUCCUUUAGUUUAUUUCUGAUUUUUUUUUUUUGCUAAACAACACUUUAGUGCACACCCCAUUGGACCAUUGGAUAAAUAUUUGCACACAUCUUUCAUACUUCAGGUAAAUUCCUAGAAGGGGAAUACCAGAUCACAGGGAUUGCACAUUUUAUUUAUUUAUUUAUUUUAAUAUUUAUUUUUUAGUUGUAGUUGGACACAAUACCUUUAUUUCACUUAUUUAUUUUUUAUGUGGUGCUGAGGAUCGAACCCAGGGUCCCGAAUGUGCAAGGAGAGCGCCCUACCAAUGAGCCACGACCCCAGCCCAGGGAUUGCACAUUUUAAAGUUUUUGAUACACAUUGUGUUAGUCAGUUUUCUGUUACUGUAACCAUACCUGAGAAAUCAACUUAUAAAGAGAAAAGAUUUAUUUUGGCUCAUAAUUUUGGAGGUGUCAGUCCAUGGUAGAGUAGACCUAUUGAUGUUAGGUCUCUGCUUGUAGAAGGUUGGGCAUCACAUCAUGGGCAGGCAGGAGCAUGUCGUAUGCAAACUGUUCACUUCAUGACUGAGGGAAAAGAUGAAGAGGGAGGGGGAGGAGGAGGGAGAGAGAGAGAGAAAACCAGGAUCCCAUAAUCCCCUUUGAGGGGAUCCCCACAAUGAUCUAAGACCUCCUACUAGGGUCCAUCUCUUAAAGAUUCUAUGCUUUCCAAUAGCCUCACAGGCUGGGGACCAAGCCUUUCAUAAGUGAUCCUUUGGGAGACAUUCUACAUCCAAACUAUAGCAUGCUGCUGAACUGAUUGCCAAGAAAACUCACUGCAAGUGACAUACCUCCU